GAUGAACGCUGGCGGCGUGCCUAAUACAUGCAAGUCGAGCGAACAGAUGAGGAGCUUGCUCCUCUGACGUUAGCGGCGGACGGGUGAGUAACACGUGGAUAACCUACCUAUAAGACUGGGAUAACUUCGGGAAACCGGAGCUAAUACCGGAUAAUAUAUUGAACCGCAUGGUUCAAUAGUGAAAGACGGUUUUGCUGUCACUUAUAGAUGGAUCCGCGCCGCAUUAGCUAGUUGGUAAGGUAACGGCUUACCAAGGCAACGAUGCGUAGCCGAACUGAGAGGGUGAUCGGCCGCACUAGAACGGAGACACGGUCCAGACUACUACGGGAGGCAGCAGUAGGGAAUCGUCCGCAAUGGGCGAAAGCCUGACGGAGCAACGCCGCGUGAGUGAUGAAGGUCUUCGGAUCGUAAAACUCUGUUAUUAGGGAAGAACAAAUGUGUAAGUAACUAUGCACGUCUUGACGGUACCUAAUCAGAAAGCCACGGCUAACUACGUG
rnacentral:rRNA from 1 species